rnacentral:piRNA from 1 species
UCUUAGCUACCAGUGGCUUCUGCUGGCCAA